rnacentral:rRNA from 1 species
GUGGGGGAUAUUGCACAAUGGGCGAAAGCCUGAUGCAGCGACGCCGCGUGAGGGAAGACGGUCUUCGGAUUGUAAACCUCUGUCUUUGGGGAAGAAAAUGACGGUACCCAAAGAGGAAGCUCCGGCUAACUACGUGCCAGCAGCCGCGGUAAUACGUAGGGAGCAAGCGUUGUCCGGAAUUACUGGGUGUAAAGGGAGCGUAGGCGGGAUGGCAAGUAGAAUGUUAAAUCCAUCGGCUCAACCGGUGGCUGCGUUCUAAACUGCCGUUCUUGAGUGAAGUAGAGGCAGGCGGAAUUCCUAGUGUAGCGGUGAAAUGCGUAGAUAUUAGGAGGAACACCAGUGGCGAAGGCGGCCUGCUGGGCUUUAACUGACGCUGAGGCUCGAAAGCGUGGGGAGCAAACAGGAUUAGAAACCCUAGUAGUCC